CCUACGGGAGGCAGCAGUGGGGGAUAUUGCACAAUGGGGGAAACCCUGAUGCAGCGACGCCGCGUGAGUGAAGAAGUAUUUCGGUAUGUAAAGCUCUAUCAGCAGGGAAGAAAAAAGACGGUACCUGACUAAGAAGCCCCGGCUAACUCCGUGCCAGCAGCCGCGGUAAUACGGGGGAUGCAAGCGUUAUCCGGAUUUAUUGGGUUUAAAGGGUGCGUAGGCUGUUAGGUAAGUCAGCGGUGAAAUGCCCCCGCUCAACGGGGUGAAGUGCCAUUGAUACUGCCUUGCUGGAAUGCGGAUGCCGUGGGAGGAAUGUGUGGUGUAGCGGUGAAAUGCAUAGAUAUCACACAGAACACCGAUUGCGAAGGCAUCUCACGAAUCCGCGAUUGACGCUGAUGCACGAAAGCGUGGGUAUCAAACAGGAUUAGAUACCCGAGUAGUC
rnacentral:rRNA from 1 species